rnacentral:tRNA from 1 species
GGAUGUAGCUUGGUGGUAGAGCACUUGCCUAACAUGUUGCGCUCCUGGGUUCGAUCCCCAGCACCA